UUUGUUUGGCUUCUCUCUUUUCCAUUCCUAGUUUUCUCUCAUUGCUCACUUUAUAUCUGGGAGCUUCCCAUCUCUUGCUGCCAAGUAUGAUGAGGUUUUAUUGGGAGGAGUAUGGUUCCGUUUUGUAUUAACUUUGAUUGCUGUCAGCUUUGUUUUAAAUAGUUGCUUCUCAGACAGGAGCAAGAAUAACUUUACAGUAUAACUGGGAGCAUAACCAGAAAUGCUGUUAUAAUGAGUUCUGCUGCCUCUUCACUUAAUAUUAUUUAUUAGUAAAGAGGGAUUGCACAUACGGAUAUGUUGGAUGCUAAAACAAAGUAAAAUGACAAGAGAGAAACAGGUGUCUCCACAAUCAGCAGAGAUGUUUUAGGUUGUAAAAAAAGGUGGGGGGGAUAAAAACAAAUGCUUGCUUCUCUCCCAAAUACAUACUUCUCAGGUUGUGCCUGCACACUUCAGCAAUUCCAGUGGAAGCCUCUGGAAUUGAAGGCAGUCUACAGAACACAUGCAAGGAGUAUAGUAUUAGAAGUAGCUGAACAUCAAAAAUAGGAGAAAAACACUGGCCAAGAAAAAAGCCAGCACAGCAAGCUUUUUAUUCAGCCAACACACAUAACUGCCUAUUAAAGGAAUUAAUGUCUGUUUUAUUUGGAAAAACAACUUCAUUUCAGUACCCUAGUGUCAGAAAGGCCUGAAAAUGCAGUGUACUCUAAAGAAUUCCCAAAUACUUUCAUAAAUAAAAUAAUAAAAGCUAAGAGUCAAAGGAUUAUAUGACAACACAUAACUGAAAAAUUGGAACUGUGUGUAUCCAACAUUUCUGAAUGUAUGCAGAAGGAUCGAUAAAGGCACACAAAGAAAAAUGAUGGCAAACAAGUUUAGGUAAUGACCAGGAAGUUGGAAAAAUGAAGAUUGGUGAAAAGAACUUCCUGCCACAGCCAGGCAUUUAUUAAAAGCUGACUCUAACAGCAACCCCAAGCCAUGAACCUGCUCCUUGGGCAGGGGGUGGCAGCAGCAGAGUGUAACCCAGACAGAGUAAACUGUAUACCCACUCCAGAUACAUUGAAUCACCAGCUAACAGCAUUUGUGUCUUCCCUGAACUAGGCUGCUUUAUUAGCCUUCAUUCAGUCUAUUAGGUUCAGCACAUUCUCACCUUCUGAUUAAAAGGACAAGUAGAACUAGGUGUCAUUAGGAUUAAGUGCCAUCAAAUCGGUCUACUCUUAGUGACCACAUAGAUUCUUUCCAGGAUGGUGGGGGCUUAUAACUGAGCGAAUGGAUUCAAAGAAUCUGGGGGGCCCAGCUCCACCUCCCCUAUUUUCUUCAUUGUGCUCCUCACUCAGGGGCUGCCGGGGAGAGGGGCGAACAUGGACCCUCUCUUCCCUAGCUACACCCCUGCUCCAAGAUGAUCUGUCUUCAACUUGGCCUUUUAGGUCUCUCAGUGGUGCAUUCAUUGCUGUCAUAAUUGAGUCUGUCCUCCAUGCUACUGGUCGUCCUCUUCUCUUUCCUUCAGCUUUUCCCAGUAUUAUGGACUUCUCAAGUAUUUGUCCCAGCUCUUUCUGCCUAAUUCUUGGUACAGCACCAGGAGACUUGUUCAUCAGUAAGGCCUUUGCUUCCCCCUCUCACCUCUGUUUUCUUUGCAUGAUAUAUCUGAAGUGACAUUUCAGUUGCCUGCCACGCUAUUUUUCAGAAAGGAAUUGGCAGUGAAGAAGAUAAAGAUAAAAUUCAUGCAGCUUGAGCCUGGAAAGUAUUCCUAAAAUGCUGUGUUUUUGAAUGUACUCUUUCCACCUAAUGACUGAAAGUUAAAGAAAAAAGAGAGAACAAUUGCCUUUUCUUCCAAGUAAUUGCUUCAGGUAGACAGUAUCACAAGUAAAUUACAUUUUAUUUAUCUUUACAAAAAAAAAUUAGCUUUACUAAUAUAUAGAUAACCAUGUUUCUCUUUACUUCUGCUUUCUGCCUUGCAAGGGACUUUUGUGAUCUGAUCAGUUGUAGAAAAAGAUCCAAGUAAAAUCCAACUGCUAGAUUGUUUAAAGACAUGGGGGUGCAGCCAUUUUCUUCUUUUAUCUCAGGGUCAGCAUUGCAGGGCAUGUACCAUAGAUCCUCAAAAGAGCUCCCUGCUGAUUACUGCCACCCCAGGGUUUCUGGAGUGACUGCCAUGGGUGUACUGUCCAUUGGGCAAGGGGAGACAGUUGUCUCCUGGCCCACUGCCUCAAGGGGUCUCCCAGAGGCAAGUCGCAUGACUCCCCAGCACCCGCCCAGGCUUCCUUCGGUAUUCCUUCCUUCCGCACUGUAUUCCCUCUCUCUCUGUCUCUCUCCCUCCCUUCCUCCUUUCCCCAUCUCCCUUUUGCCUCAUUACUCAUAGGCUCCUCCUUCCCCCAUCCAGAGGCUCUCAUUGGCUGGCGGGUAGAUGCAUCAGCGCCACAUGUGGAAAAGUCCAGAAAGGCGCAUGUUCAGCUGGAACACGCCGGCGGAGAUGUUACAAACUGCUGAACUUGUAGAAGACAACAGUGUGCCGCAUUUGACUGUUGAAGGCGAGAAGGAAACGAAAACUUAGUAACUGGGUGUUUACAAAAAUCAACUGAACAUUUUGUUUUAAAGAAGCAGCCAAGUACUUAACUGUCCAAGACUACGGCUUACAAAAGAAUGCUGUCAAACUAACAACAACAAGAAAGAUCUCUCGCCUCCUCCUCUGGGAUGUGAUUGGUUAGAGAAAAAGCCCUGAGUAAACUGUGGGAAUGCACACAGGAAGAUGAUCUUCAGGGAACACUGACAAGAACCAACCCUAUGUGAACGGCUCAUCUAAUCAUCCGAAUUAAACAGCUGCAAAUCUACCCCGAAGCAUGAAGCCAUGUCUGAAUAUCUCCCAGGUGACAGAACUUCUGAGAAUAUUCUAAAACUUUAAUAAGCAACAUGAAUGAAGGAUGUGAUAGUGUGGCACAAUAUCCCAAUACCAUUUUCCAAGCUGGGUUUUUCCACUUGUAGCUAUAAUAAGUUGUCUGAAUGUGUACUUUGUAGUCACAUUUUGGAAGUAACUCAGGUAUGUGCAAUCAGGGCCAGGUGUUCUUUCUCUAGGAACAGGUGCAGUUUGUGCACCUCCUGGCCACAGACUGGCCAUUCAAAAGCAAGGUCAUAACCAGAAAAUCUUCCAAACUGCAGAUUAUUUUGUAGACUGUCAAGUCACUGUGUGCAAUUGGCUCAAUAAAAGGCAACACAUAUGAAAGCACCCUAUGUUGUAUACAAUAUGGUGUAGUGUUGUACACAACCGACUCUUAUAAGUAGGUCAAAUAAGAAGGUAGUGACAAAAGUUCUAUAGCUUAUUCUCUCAAAGCACUUUGAUAUAUUCUUAUGAAAUGUUAUUCUAGUAUGCAAUAAUAAUAUGUGGAAGGAAAACAAAACAAAGCUUUUAUUUGUGUAAACUUUAAUCUUUGUACAGUAGGAGCAUACAGUACAUGUCAUGUAUACAAUUUGUACAAUAAUGCUUUCCAAUACACUGAAAAAAUAUUUGUAAACCCCUGAAAAAAUGUGCAUUUUAUCAAAGUUUUAGCUUUGUUUUGCACACUGUUUGAAUUUAUCAGGCAAUAAUUCUAUAAGAAUCAUUUACUACAUUCCACUUUUGCAUGACUUCAGCAUAACACUAGCCUGUGACCAGGGCCAGAUUAAACAUAUAGCAUAAUGGAGCCAUUGCUCAGCCUGCAUUAAAACGUUAAAAUAAAGUAUCUAGUACUUUAGGUUUCAUCUAGUGAAUUCUCAUACAGCAAAGGGAUUCUGGUGAUCAAGGGGUGAGGUUUCAAUAUUGUGCACAGCUUCCUGCCAUCUCUCCCAGCUAUUGUUUUCUGGACAACUGCCUUUACUGCCCAUCUGUACCUAUUACUAUGAUCCCAUCUCUCCCCUGUUGGGAAAGAGUGCUUGACACAAUAGAAUAGCUUAACGUUCACUGUGCUGGGCUUUGGGAUGAGAUGGCUUUGAGAUGGGGUUCAAGUGUCUAAGACAGGCCUGCUCAACUAUGCCCCCCUCCGGCUGUUUUUGGACUACAAGCCCCAUAAUCCCUAGCCAGAUUGACCAGUAGCCAGGGAUUGUGGGAGUUGUAGGCCAACAUCUGCAGGAGAGACGAAGCCGGGCAGCCCUGGUCUAAUUCAGAAAACAACAGACUAAAAUAAUCUGAUAGCAGUGUCACCUGGGUGCUCCAUAAAAAGUGAAUGAACAAAGAGUGGCCAUUCCAGAGACAGGGCUACUAUAUAAGUAACUCAGCCAUUUUUCAGGAGCAAUGAUAGAUUAAACUCACAGCGUUUUCAUUCUCCAUUUACACACACUUCUUCACAUUGCAACACCUUUCUCAACCACAUUCCCCUCAGCGCACACACUAUAUCUCACUCUAUUUAGCUAUGCAGUCACGUAUCUUGCAUUUUGUCCAUGCAGACACACGCACGCAUGAGUGCGUGUGCACACACACAUCCCUUUCUGCAGUAGCAACACAACCAUAUUUUUCAAAUCUCAGUUACAUUCCUGCACUUUAACAAACCCUGCAGGCUUUGGGAAGUUGAAAGGAAUAACCCAGACAGCAUACCACUUAAGUUUGCCUACACCAGAACGAACAGUUUCUAACCAGGACAAGACUUCCCUAAGAGUAGGGGUGUGCAAUUUGGAUUUUCGGUGUUUCAAUUCAGAUCCGAAUCGAAACACCCCUGAUUUGUUUUUAGGUCCGAAUCUGACCCAUCCGAAUCACCCCAGAUACGAUUCGGAUGCAAAUGAAUCCAAAUCCAAAUCGAUUCAGAUUAAAAAACCGGGUCCCUGGGCCAAAAGAGUGGGGUGAGGUGGUAGUGCCUAAUGGGUGGAGGCUACCACCCCAAUUGCAGAGGGAUUGGGCAGAGGGCUGAUU